rnacentral:rRNA from 1 species
UACGUAGGGUGCGAGCGUUGUCCGGAAUUAUUGGGCGUAAAGAGCUCGUAGGCGGUCUGUCGCGUCUGCUGUGAAAUCCCGAGGCUCAACCUCGGGCUUGCAGUGGGUACGGGCAGGCUAGAGUGCGGUAGGGGAGAAUGGAACUCCUGGUGUAGCGGUGGAAUGCGCAGAUAUCAGGAGGAACACCAAUAGCGAAGGCAGCUCGCUGGGACGUUACUGACACUGAGGCGCGAAAGCGUGGGGAGCGAACAGG